rnacentral:rRNA from 1 species
GACGAACGCUGGCGGCGUGCUUAACACAUGCAAGUCGAACGGAAAGGCCCUGCUUUUGUGGGGUGCUCGAGUGGCGAACGGGUGAGUAACACGUGAGUAACCUGCCCUUGACUUUGGGAUAACUUCAGGAAACUGGGGCUAAUACCUGAUAGGAGCUCCUGCUGCAUGGUGGGGGUUGGAAAGUUUCGGCGGUUGGGGAUGGACUCGCGGCUUAUCAGCUUGUUGGUGGGGUAGUGGCUUACCAAGGGUUUGACGGGUAGCCGGCCUGAGAGGGUGACCGGCGACAUUGGGACUGAGAUACGGCCCAGACUCCUACGGGAGGCAGCAGUGGAGAAUAUUGCACAAUGGGCGGAAGCCUGAUGCAGAAACGCCGCGAGCGGGAUGACGGCCUUCGGGUUGUAAACCGCUUUAGCCUGUGACGAAGCGGGAGUGACGGUAAUGGGUAAAGAAGCACCGGCUAACUACGUG